ensembl:lncRNA
CCCUAUCCUAAAAGAUCAUUUAGACAUCUUGACAUCUAACCAACAUUUUUUCAUUCUUUACCAGAAACACAAGCUCCAAAUGUCUGCUUUUAAACCCCUCCAGAUGAAUUGCAUGCAAACCUCAUACAUGUUCGGUGCAUUUAAGCAUCAGACCUGCGCUCCACAUUCAUCCAGCUGAACAUAACCUGGAAUCUUUUUCUUAUUGUUUUGCUGCGUGUGUGUGUGUGUGUGUGUGUGUGUGUGUGUGUGGUCUGGCAGACAUGCGUUCAGCUCUGUUUGUCAGGUUUCUAGUUUGCUCGUCGUUGUAAUCGCGUUACACGUGCUGUCGAGUCUUGCAGGAGAUUCACAGCGAGAGAACGUCCUGUUUUGAUUGCGAUUCUCACAAACACUGUUUUCUGUUCCACAUCCAGCUCGCUUAGCUUUCAUAAAACAGGUUAUAGCCCCGGGUCAUGCUGCAAUUCUAACAUAUGAUAAAUAAUAGAGGAGACGAGGAUUGUUUGGCAGCCUGACCCCUCGCGCUGAUGAAACGCUGAUUAUUUUCCUAGGAAAUCUGGCUGAGGCGGAUUUCUCCAGAUGUUUCUCUUCAGAAUAUUCAAGGAUUUGGGUUAAAUAUGGAGAAUUAAGUGCGCCUGUCGAGCAGCGCCGGAGGUUAAACAUCCCUCCGACUGCGGAGAAAAUUUCACAAGUCUGAAACAUAAUCACAGGCCGUGAUAAAGAGAUGAGGAGAGACUGUGUGACCCCGUCAUGUUCAGGCGCUCAGCCAUUAAAGCGUUUUAAAGCACUUCCAAAAGGGAUGGAUUUGGAGGAAAGCAGCCAGGGCAGUGAGGGGGCCGACGCGUGCCUAAAAAUACAGCCGCAUGCCACUCACGAGGUGAAACUUUAAUUAAGACACGAGCACUUCAUCAUUAUUCCACUCGACUGAUGAUUACCAUCUGACAUUUUAACACACGCAAACACGCUGAUAUAUAUUCUGCCACUUUCUCGGCGAGAGGAAGAAGGCAAUCGUGCAAUUAUCACUUCAAGCCGUCGAUCAUUGAACCUUUUCUUUGAUAGAUUGGCACACUUUUGAUGAGAGCAGGUCAGAAACGAUACGCCCUCAAAC